GGACCCGCACAAGCGGUGGAUUAUGUGGAUUAAUUCGAUGCAACGCGAAAAACCUUACCUACCCUUGACAUGUCCUGAAGGCCCCUGAGAGGGGGCUGUGCCCGAAAGGGAACGGGAACACAGGUGCUGCAUGGCUGUCGUCAGCUCGUGUCGUGAGAUGUUGGGUUAAGUCCCGCAACGAGCGCAACCCUUGUCAUUAGUUGCUACAUUCAGUUGGGCACUCUAAUGAGACUGCCGGUGACAAACCGGAGGAAGGUGGGGAUGACGUCAAGUCCUCAUGGCCCUUAUGGGUAGGGCUUCACACGUAAUACAAUGGCGCGUACAGAGGGUUGCCAAGGAGCGAUCUGGAGCCAAUCCCGAAAAGCGCGUCGUAGUCCGGAUUGCAGUCUGCAACUCGACUGCAUGAAGUCGGAAUCGCUAGUAAUCGCGGAUCAGCAUGUCGCGGUGAAUACGUUCCCGGGUCUU
rnacentral:rRNA from 1 species